ensembl:lncRNA
AGAGACGCGCGUAAAUCUCAAAGUCAAUUUAUCGGUUGAACAGGGGCAAGUAAAUUCAGUUUAGGUGAACGACCCUGCAGCACAGCGCGCUGGAUUCCUAUUUAGUUAUGUCAGUCUCGCACUCGCCAUUUGGAAGUGUUAACGUUAGUACUCUAUCCGACUUCCGUGUACUACGGUUAGGGGUGUGAUGGCAGCUAACCUCAUGUCAAUAGUUGGUUAGUGAGUGAUGGACAUAAACUAGUUUGUCACUGUCAGAGACGUGCAUACAUCUCUUAUAUGAUAUUUGCAAGACUUUUACGAAGGAUGGCAGCGCUCACCACCACUGUCCCUGAGAUGCAUGUGAUUUGGGAGACAGAGGAGCUUGUGGCCUUCCUGCACCCUCGCCCCUGGACCCCGGGGACUACUGUGGUGACCCAGAAGACCACUGGAGGCCCAAGUAGUCUCUUUCAGCUGCCUGAACGUGACUUCCUCAGCCUGCUAUUGGGAGCACGAGUAGUGGGGGCUCUGCUGUGCGAGCGCCUGGGCGUCAGGCGCUGUGCCCUCCUCCAUUUCCCCAACAGGCUAGAGGGUCCCCCACAGCUGCGCUUGCUGCCCCUGCAUGGUCUGGAGGCCGACUGGAAGCCCCAUCUGGGAGCAGAGGAGGACUUUCAGCCGCACGACCCUGGCUACUGCACUUCCAAAGGUGGCCCGCGGUGGGACAGUGCAUGUCUUGACGAAGUGCGUGACCGCAUCCGUGGCAAGGUUCCGGCACCGGAGGCCCCACCCAGCUUCGCCUUCUAUGGGGAUGACCCGGAGCACCCAGGGCUGUUUUCGCGGAUCGUGCGCGGCGAGGAGCAGCAGUGGCGCGUGUGGGAGGACGAGGGGCAUGUCGCGUUCCUCACCCCUUUCCCCAACACCCCUGGUCUGACCGUGCUGGUGCCACGGCGGCCGCUCACCAGCGACAUCCUCCGACUGGAGGAGCAGGACUACCGGGGGCUGGUGCUGGCUACGUGGAAGGUCGCCCGUCUGCUCAGGGAGUCGCUGGGAGCGUGGGCCGUUUCUCUCAUCUUUGAGGGCUUUGAGAUUGACUACGCCCACGCCAAGCUCAUACCGCUGGCCCAGCCCGAGGGGAACGUGACCCACUGCCCUCCCAGCCCCCUGCCAGAGUCCUGUGAGAUUUACCCUGGGUACGUGACAUCAGCCGACGGCCCUCCGGCCAGUCCUGAGAGCCUGAGGGAGAUGCAGACCACACUCACAAGGGUUUAGCUGAAGAGGACGUGUUUGUUUGGCGUGACAUCUCAAACAACAGAGAUAGAAUUACAUGAAACAUUUGACAAUAACAAGAUACUUGUUUAGUUGCAAGUGGAUAUGUAUACAUUUGUAUAUUUGACUAAAGUGAUAGGGGCCUUCCAUUCUGUCUAUUUGCCUAUGGUGGGAACAUGCCUUAAGAGUCACGUUAGGGCCGUAGGCAAAUACCAGAGGAGGCAAAUGCCAGAGAGGUUUAUGAGAGUGAACAAGUGAGAGUGUGAACAAGAUAAGUAAUAGCCUAUUCCAGUAUGCUGCUUCCUUCAGUUAAGCCUUUUUAUCCUUUGCCUUAAUUUAGGUCCUUUUUCAAGACUGACAUUACACAGUUAUUGCACAUAGUACAUUGAUCCAUGUGCAAAUCUAGAAAUACAUAUACAUAUAAAAUAAUAAUGUUUUUUCAUUUGAAACCUAUGGUUACUAGCAUUUUCUGGGCCUGCUGUUCAGUCCUGGCUCCUCUGAAUCAUCUCCAUCCUUUGCUUGCACACUGUAAGGUCCCCCUGCCUAAUCCCAAAUCAAAGAGCAAGGGCCCUCGUGUUGGAAAUCAUGCUCAUGUUAAAUCUCACUGUAAAAUUUGAAUUUUGUCCCCCCUUCCACAUCACCAGUGGAGCAAGUUCUGACUCAUGUUGAAAGUAGUCUGUUUCAGUAUGACACUACUUCAGGUGGAUGAAAUGUAAAGGCUGUGUGCUAUUGUUUGCCAUACUCACAUCCUCUUUCUGGCAAAGCUGGUCAUGUGUUUUGUCACUUUGUCAUUCCAAAGAACCAAGGCAUAGUUCCUUAUAACUCAGUGCCGAGAGAAACAGUUCCUUUAAACUCAGUGCCAGAGACACUGUAGUAUUUAUCAUGAUUUGUAAAGUAAAACAAAGUUUUUAGUUAGUAUACUUUUGGGUGCUAAUCAUAAUUUUGCCUGUAUUUGAUAAAUUAUCAUACAGACAUUUUAUAAAAGAAGAAAUCACUGAAGGUAAUGCUACAUCAGCUAAAGAAUAAUUAAUUAAUCUAUCGGAUUCUAAUUUGAAUGCUAUUAUCUAAUAAGCUAAUCACUAAUAACUCAAGGGUUUGGGUUGCAUAUAAAUAUAUAACAUAAACAUUAAUUAUUAGAAAAAAAGUUUCAUAUAUAUCCAGCACAUCAUAUUUUAUAUUAUUUACAAGUGCUUUCCAUUCUUUGAAUCAUAGAAUCAAGAUUUUAGGUGGCAAAAAAUUCUACACGUGGCUCUAAUUUUAGGGGUAUCUGUACUCUAUAGAACAAAAUAAGGAAUUCUGGAUGCAAAACUCUCUGACCUUAAGUUUUGAUGCAAUUACAAAACACCACACAUCAGAUUCCAUACUCAUUUUACAUCAUACAAAUGUCUUUAUUUCAUCAUUUCAAUGAUUUGUAUAGUUUAAUAAUAAUAAACAUGGCAUUCCAUUUCCA